rnacentral:rRNA from 1 species
AUUGAACGCUGGCGGCAGGCCUAACACAUGCAAGUCGAGCGGCAGCGGAAAGUAGCUUGCUACUUUGCCGGCGAGCGGCGGACGGGUGAGUAAUGUCUGGGAAACUGCCUGAUGGAGGGGGAUAACUACUGGAAACGGUAGCUAAUACCGCAUAACGUCGCAAGACCAAAGAGGGGGACCUUCGGGCCUCUUGCCAUCAGAUGUGCCCAGAAGGGAUUAGCUAGUAGGUGGGGUAACGGCUCACCUAGGCGACGAUCCCUAGCUGGUCUGAGAGGAUGACCCACCACACUGGAGCUGGGACACGGUCCAGACUCCUACGGGAGGCAGCAGUGGGGAAUAUUGCACAAUGGGCGCAAGCCUGAUGCAGCCAUGCCGCGUGUAUGAAGAAGGCCUUCGGGUUGUAAAGUACUUUCAGCGGGGAGGAGGGUGUUGAGGUUAAUAACCUCAGCAAUUGACGUUACCCGCAGAAGAAGCACCGGCUAACUCCGUGCCAGCCGCCGCGGUAACAC